AUUGAACGCUGGCGGCAGGCCUAACACAUGCAAGUCGAACGAGUGGCGGACGGGUGAGUAAUGUCUGGGAAACUGCCCGAUGGAGGGGGAUAACUACUGGAAACGGUAGCUAAUACCGCAUACCAUCGGAUGUGCCCAGAUGGGAUUAGCUAGUAGGUGGGGUAAAGGCUCACCUAGGCGACGAUCCCUAGCUGGUCUGAGAGGAUGACCAGCCACCCUGGAACUGAGACACGGGCCAGACUCCUACGGGAGGCAGCAGGGGGGAAUUUUGGACAAUGGGGGAAACCCUGAACCAGCCAUACCGCGUGUGCGAUGAAGGCCUGCGGGUUGUAAAGCACUUUUGGCAGGAAAGCGGUACCUGCAGAAGAAGCACCGGCUAACUACGUGCCAGCAGCAGCGUAAUAC
rnacentral:rRNA from 1 species